GAUGAACGCUAGCUACAGGCUUAACACAUGCAAGUCGAGGGGAAACGAUAUUGGAAGCUUGCUUCCGAUAGGCGUCGACCGGCGCACGGGUGAGUAACGCGUAUCCAACCUGCCCACCACUUGGGGAUAACCUUGCGAAAGUAAGGCUAAUACCCAAUGAUAUCUCAAGAAGACAUCUGAAAGGGAUUAAAGAUUUAUCGGGGAUGGAUGGGGAUGCGUCUGAUUAGCUUGUUGGCGGGGUAACGGCCCACCAAGGCGACGAUCAGUAGGGGUUCUGAGAGGAAGGUCCCCCACGUUGGAACUGAGACACGGUCCAAACUCCUACGGGAGGCAGCAGUGAGGAAUAUUGGUCAAUGGGCGAGAGCCUGAACCAGCCAAGUAGCGUGCAGGAUGACGGCCCUAUGGGUUGUAAACUGCUUUUAUAAGGGAAUAAAGUGAGCCUCGUGAGGCUUUUUGCAUGUACCUUAUGAAUAAGGACCGGCUAAUUCCGUGCCAGCCGCCGCGGUAA
rnacentral:rRNA from 1 species